CAGACAGCCUCUGCCCUUCAGCCUGUGCCCCAGAAUGGGAGACCCAUGGGACAGACUCAAGCUGUACCCUGAAGCAGAGCUGCCCAGUUGACUGCAGACCUAGGAGGCUGGAGAAAAAAGAAUCCGUUAAAGGAUAACAGGAAGAAUAGCCCGAGAGGAAGAGGGAAAACCAGGAGAGAGUGGAGCCCUGAAGCUGUGUGAGGAGAGGGUUUCAGGAGCAUGGGAACCUCUGAUACUCAGACAGGGGUGUGCUGCGCCAUUCUGCACCAUGUCCCUGGGCGUGGUGGCGUGCACCUGUAAUCCCAGCUACCCAGGAGGCUGAGGCAAGAGAAUCGCUGGAAUCUGCGAGACAGAG